GGGAGACCUUGACACUGGCGCUGUGUGGACUGGAGCCGCAGGACCCACAGAGCGUUAAUGCACUGAGGUUGCAAGGAGGUGCUAAUUUCCCAGAAACAGCUGCCCGUGGCAGCUCUUUUGGAAGAAGAAGAACCUGUGCCCUGCUCCAGCCUGGCCCCCCUGUGGGAUUUGCCCAGCCGUGCCCCCACCUGCCCCGCCCAGCCCCACCUGCCUACAUUUUUCUCUCAAAUGCUGUACGUGUGGUUUCGGGAGGAGAUCUUGAUGCAUUCUAAGUGAACUUUUGCAGAGUCUCCACCAAAUAACAGCUCUCCAAAUGUAAGUGUUCUUGGUGCUUGUCUCUAGCAGAUCGGCGGCUGCAGUGCAAGUUCUUUCAAUUCUUCUCUGCCCUCCCCUUCAGGCCAUCCUGGCCUCCAGACAAUUGGGCCUGCCUGUGAACUAGUGGACACACUUCUGAUGCUGCCAUAUGCCACCCAAAACUGACCUGUCCUCGGGCUCCACCUGGAAGCAGAAAGGAUUCAAGCACAACAGCAUGGUGACUUUACAUAAGGGACUGCUAUCUCUUGGUCCAUGGGACCUGAACAAGAAAACAGUAUCCACAAGGGCCUGCAUUAUCCUUUCCAAGGGUCCCUCCGUUGUGGUCCACAAACUUGAGCACCGAGGCCCCGCCCCUCAACUUCCUGUGAGAGCAUCUCUAGGUUGCUGGGAGUCCCCUCUGUGCCCCUCUUUCUGCAGGUUUAUGCUGAAGUGCCAGCAGUGCCCAGGUCUCCCUCAUGUCCUAGGAGAAGGCAAAGAGGCCCAGAUCGGAGCCCAAGGAUCUUCCAACUCCCUGCCUGCCUGCCGGAUCUGACCAACUGCUAGGCCUGCUGGGAAGGAGGCUUCAAUGGCGCUGGGUGUCGUGAAACUGUUUCCGCACGAUGGCAGUAGAGCUGCAGACAUGGCCACCAGCCCUCUUCCUGAGCGCUCUUCUCCCGCCCUUCUUGUCUGAAAAAACGCCACCCAGAGAAAAAGGCUCUGGAAAUCUGGCUCCCUUGUUAUUUGCCCUCCAUGUUGGAACAAGCCUUCCAGGAUGCUUUUUUGUGUGUGUUGGAACUCGAAUUGAGAUUUUCAAAAACUUAUUCAUUUCUUAAUAUCGAGACAGGAUUUUGCAUGUUGGCCAGACUGGCCUCCGAUUUGAGACCUUACUACCUUGGCCUCUAGCAUGAGACUGCUUUCAGGUUUCAUCAGAAACUACACUGGGGCCUGAAUCUCUGAUGCCCUAACAGGGCCUUUUUGAUGUGCUCUGUUCCUGAAGCCCAGGCCAGGGUGUGCAGCUGACCUGGGAGCGCCCUCUUUUACUCACCUGAAGCACUGUGAGGGUUUUCUUUGGCUCAUCAGCCACUGAGAAGAGCCCUUCCUUGCAAUUACUGAGCCCCAAAGAGUGGGUUUCUUUCAUGGACUAUAAGCCGCUUGUGGAUCCUGGGGCGCCCCCUCUACUGCUGGAUGUGAGCCCUCCAGUGGAGGUG
rnacentral:lncRNA from 1 species